AAAGUUUGUCAGGUUAUGAUCUUUACACAAUCUAGUGAAAAAGCAGCAGCAAAUUGUAUAUUUUAAAAUGACUGGAAGUUAGAUGUGGCAACAGAAAAUUUUUUUCAAAAUCCUCACUUCAUAUAUGAGAUAGCGUAAAAUGAUCAUUAGACAGGAAGAAGUUAGAACAACUGUACAAUAGAUACAAAGAUCCUCAAGAUGAGAAUACAAUUGGAAUAGAUGGUACACAGCAGUUCUGUGAUGACCUGGAACUCGAUCCAGCCAGCAUUAGUGUAUUGAUUAUUGCAUGGAAGUUCAGAGCAGCAACAUAGUGUGAGUUCUCCAAACAGGAGUUCAUGGAUGGCAUGACAGAAUUAGGAUGUGAUAACACAGAAAAACUAAAGGCCCAGAUAUCCAAGAUGGAACAAGAAUUGAAAGAACCAGAAUGAUUUAAUGAUUUUUACCAGUUUACUUUUAAUUUUGCAAAGAAUCUAGGACAAAAAGGAUUAGAUCUAGAAAUGGCCAUUUCCUACUAGAACUCAGUGCUAAGUGGAAGAUAUAAAUUCUUAGAUUUAUGGAAUAACUUUUUGUUGGAACAUCAUAAACAAUCAAUACCAAAAGACAUUUGGAAUCUUCUUUUAGACUUCAGUACAAUGAUUGCAGAUGACAUGUCUAAUUAUGAUGAAGAAGGAGCAUGGCCUGUUCUUAUCAAUGACUUUGUGGAGUUUUUACACCCUCAAACUACUGGGACAAAAAGUAUAACAGUGUAUCACUAAAGGAACCUUCUAGAAUGUACAUAGUCUGUGCAAUAAAUACAAUAGAAAAUGGCACAAUUUCUGCUGGCUGGGCUGAACUGAAGAUCAAUCCUCACACUUGAGACAAAACUUUAAGAAUACAACUUGGACCAUUUCAUUCUUCUAAUGGUGGUUUGGGCUUGUCUUCUAGCCUGGGCUGCUCUAAACAUUUAUAAUUCCAGCAUUGCGGAUUUCAUCUUAUACCUAUGGACCAUCCUAGUUUAUUCUCCCAUAAGACUUAUGGUGAUUAUUUGGAGGUUUCCAUUCUCUCCUAAAGCACAACGCUGUCUUCAUCAGAAAACAGUUGGCAUAAGAAUUAAACAUAUGAACAACACAAAAUAAUUUGUAAAAAACUUCUUAAAUAUACAUUUUGGUCCAGUUGCAAAGACUGUGCUCACAGCACUUCCAAUGAGAAUGAUAUAUUUAAGUGUACUGGAUCUGGAAUGGUACUUUGGUUUGGGGGAACUUUUUUUCUUGGCAAAUCACAUGUGUUGUUGAUGUGACUAGAGUAUAUGAUGAAAAAACAAUGUCAGAAUAACCAACAUGAAAAUUUUUUAUAAUUUGGUGCCUACCUGAAAAAUGUAUUGUGUUUCAGGCUCCUGAUUUCAAAAGGUUCCACAGAACUAGUCUGCACUUACCUUACUCAUGUUUACAUAUAGUUGUCCUCACAGGAGCUUUUAUUUAGAAAAUGUCUGCAUAAUGUUAGAUUCUACUCUUGUCUACAUUUUACACUACAUAAUUGAACAUUAUGCUUUUGAAAUGCUUAACUGCCUGUCACAUAAGUUAAACUAUUUAAUUUGUUUUGAAUGUUUUGGAUUGCUACACAACACAAUAUUCUAAAUUUAGGCAUGAGGGUUUUUUUUUUGUUUUGGUUUUAUUAUUUUUUUGUCAUUGCACUAUGGAAGACACAAUUCUCUUAAUUUAUAAGAAGAUAGCAGGAGUUAAAUUUUGAAAGUGGUUGUGAUAAGCUAUGAAGUUCAAUCUUUAUAAUAUAGGUACUGUUCUUUCAAAUAGUCCAUUUUUGAUGAUUUCUUAUUUUGUUGAAAUUGCUUUAACUGCCAAUCACUGUGGUUGCCAAAUAUUUACUUCAGGAGCAAAGAUUUUCAAACAAGCAUACAUAAUGCAAAAUACCAA